rnacentral:lncRNA from 1 species
AGCGAAUUCUUAUUGAUAUGGGAUGAUUUAAACGGAAUAGAACCCUCUAUUUAUAAGGAGAGAGUGACUUAGCCACCAAGUAAUAAACCCUAAAGUAUCUCUAAAUAUAGACAUUCAUCAUAAAUAGAAUUCUACUUAUAACAAACCAACAAGUUGGAAAACUCAACUUUUUCGAAAUUAGGUUAAAAGCAUAUUGUUUUGACCAAAUAUAUUACAUUUUUAUCACUAAUUUUCUUAAUACCGAAAUUACCCCUCAGUAAAAACUCUACAACAUAAUAUCUUUUUCUUUAAUCCAUUCUUGUUGCAGCAGCCUUGUUCUCCGUUCUUCUCUCCAACGUACUCUGCUUUCUUCUGUCUUCUUCCACCUUUGUCCUCACUUUUUCUGUUCCUUUCAUUCAUUAUUUAUGCACCCAUCAAUUUCAGCCCUCUUCACCAUUCUUGCCAACUUUUUCUUUUAUCUUUUUUUAGGAUUUAUAUUUUUCAACUCAAGAAAGGGACUGGUUGAAUUAGAAAAUAUGAACGAAAAAUAUAAUAUUGUAGUAAUUAUGUUAUUUAUAAUAUUAACAACUUUAAAGAUAUUUUAAACAUUUUAACAAGAAAAAUAUUUACCAAUACUUCUUUACCAAAUAUUUCAUCAAAUUUUUUUAUUUUCAGCACUUUUAUCCAAACAAGUAUUUACUUAUUUAUAAAACAAACUCCAACACUUAUAAAGUGCUUUCAACCACUUAACUCAAAAGUCAAUUUUUUGUCAAAACUUUCUUUCCCCUCACAAAAAUUCAAUUUGCUUUCAAAUAAAAUAUAUAUCAAAAUAUAACUUCAAAAGACACUAGCUAAGACAUAUUUAAUUUGUGUCAUUUUCCAAAUUAUUACACCCUCAGGUCCAAAAUAAAUAAUUUUUUGACCUUUCUCUUGUGAUCCAAAAUAAAUAAUUUUUCCAGAUUGCAAGAAUGAAAUUAAUUAUUUUUUUCCUACAUUAUCUUUGGAGUAAAUAGUGUUGGAAUAUGGGUUAGGAGUGUUUAUGUGAGAUAGUAAAGGUUAAUAUGGUCAAUUUCAUUGCUAAUUAAUGCUAAAAGAUGAAUUUCUUAAUCUAUGUGAAAAAAAUCCAAAAAAUCUCUUAUUUUGGACCAGAGGGAGUAUCAGCCAAGCUUAAGGAGAACACAAUUUAAAUAUCAUUAACGAAAUACUAUGAUUUUCAGUUGUUGAAUACUCCCACAUCUAUUCUUCAAUAACCAACGUGUAGGUAUAACAUUUUAGCAAUUACGGCUAUUUUCGAAAAUGAAGUAAUAACUUGCCUAGCCACGGAGGUCUAACUUCUGACGUGGAUAACGAGCUCUAAUUACAUGGUCAUUUGGCCUCUAGCGGAAACAAAAACUCCAAAUCUAAGGUAACAUAUUACUAUCCAAAAGGUUGUAUUACAAAUACCUAAUGAAUACAUCACACACAUCAAAAUAUUAAAAAUAAAAAAUAAAAACAUCUACCACACCAAGAAACAACUGGACCAUAUGAGGGGUAAUUUACCGCACCUGUUGUAAUUCCAGUCAAUAAUCAAGCGAGUCGACUGUCUAGAACAAGUUCCAACUGUGACAUCCACCAGGGGGCUUUUAAAGAACUGUGUGUUGGUGGUGUGUGGUGGUGGUUUUUUUUUUUGUUGGUGUGUUUGUCGGGUGUGGGGGGAGGGGGGAGGGGGCAAGGAAGAAAGAUAACACACAAAUUUGUAGAACUUCUAUAUUCUAUGCAAUAGGAGAGCAACUUCUAACUUCGCAUGAAUAGUUGUACGAAAUCAAUCUCCUACUAAUGCCUCUACUUGGUGCAACUACUUGUAUGAGAUCAACUCAACUCAGGUCGACUUCUCACACCCCAUGAUUGAUUGUCUUUGUAAUCAAGUAUCCUCCCAUAUCAUUCAACCACCCUUCAUCAAGACAUAGCCAACCCUCCAACUCAAACCAUACCACUCUCAAGAAGAAAGGACAAACAAUGGAGCAUUGCAUGAUAGGAGCAAUAAUAAAGGCAUCAGCAAAUGAAGCAUGCGAACUGUAUCCAAAAACAGUAUGAAAGAGAACAAAAAAGAGAUGGUUUAACUUCAGAUAGGAGCAGACACUUUUGAAACAACAUUAUGGUCAAACAAAUGCAGAGAAAAUAUGAGUACCCACUUUAGCAUACAUGAAAAUUCUACCAAACAUGCGGAUUCAUUGCAAUAAUAUCAGCACUUGCACAUAAAUCAUAUAACAAAAGUAAGCAUGCAUAAAAAAGAAUAUUGACACUUACCAUCAGAUAUAUACCUGCUUCAGUUAAUUCCAACCAGUACUCCCAAAAGCUAUCAGAUUCCACAUUGAUUGGCAGUGAACAUCACUGUGUUUUGGCAUUACUGAUACAUAUAGCACUACCAAUCACAGCAAUUAAGAUCCAGUGUCUGCAGUGAACUGCAGGCACCCAUGUAGCUUAAGCUGUAUGCACAUUCCAUAGCCACGACAUCCUCUUCAGAAGAGCAAUCUACUUUUAGCAAGAUAUUUUUUGCCAAUAAAAUGACAAGGACACAUAGGAAAUCAUGAUUGAAUAUUAUCACAGAUAAUGAAGAAACAUGUAGGCUCUCUAGUAACGUAGCAAUACUUUUGAAGAUAUUGUGAAAGGGCACAUUGCCCAACAUUGCAUCAUAAUCAAAUAUAAUGAAAAAACAUGUAGGCUUUUCUAGUAACAUAGCAAUGCUUUUGAAGAUAUUGUGAAAGGGCAUAUUUCCCAACAUUGCAUCAUAAUCAAAACUAGAACGCUUAGAAAUCUCCACCAGGUCUAGCAUCUAGAGCAUCAAAUAGGAAAAUCCAACUAACAGUAGAUUCAUACAAAUAACAAUAAACUGAAAACAAGACAACAGGACACAUGGCCGAGAUCUGACAGUUAAAUUCAUCUAUAGUACAACUACAAAUGGGAAGAAAGGAUGAGGCCGCAGGCUACACAGGUUCUUGGAAGCACAAGAGUUUGAUCUCGGAAAUAUAUGGUGUCAGGUCUUGGCAAAUUUUGAUAGUAGGUAAGAUCUUCGGACAUGGUCCUCCUAAGGAAAACAUCAAGGUAGACAAUGGAUUUCAAUAUCUGCAUUCAUCCGGUCAUCUGGUUUAGGCAUGAGGCUUCAUCAAAGGUGACAGUAGGCUGGCUACAAUGGAUUUUGAUACCCGCAUUCAUCUGGUCAUCUGGUUUAGGCAUGAGGCUUCAUCAAAGGUGACAGUAGGCUGGCUUCAGGCUUCAGAUAUCUCGGCUGUUUGUAGCGAGGGAAAGGAAACAAAGGGAAAAGAAUAUCAUUAGUCUCAUAAUUGGAAGAUAGGUUAGGUCAUCAUACCAAACUGUGUAUUACUUUUGUAUGAGCCGGGCUAGGAAUAUAAAACCAGCUACUCAAAUUGAAAAUUCAAUGCAAUACAGCCAAAAUUCAUGGGCUACCUGUGGUCCUGUUACAUGCUCUAAUAACCAUAACUUUUUCUCCGGGAGGCAGUGUUUUGCCUUGAUGACCUGGUAACAUAAACUUAACAUAAUGAAUAAGAAUUGGAGAAGCAACUUUGAAUUCUUUAGAGCAGUUGAAAUUAGACGAGCUAAAUAAGAAAUCCUCUGCAAGAAAGGGCAGAACAAACUCACCAACCACAAGUUCUAACCACAAUGAUAUUAGGUCAGACGUAAACAUGCAAGAUCCAAAUAUAUGGUCAAAACAUUUAGCUUCUUGAAAAGCAUACAAUUCAAGAAAUAAUGAAACUACAAUCUCGUGCUUGUUUUUCUUUCAAGAAAUUCUUGAGGCAGCAUGAUAACAGUAUCACCAUUACACAGGAAACCAAACCUACUCAAGACUGGCGAAGGGAAAGCAAGAACUCACCC